rnacentral:rRNA from 1 species
GACAGAGGCCUCAAGCGUUAGGCGGAAUCACUGGGCUUAAGGCGUGUGUAGGCGGAUCGUUAAGUGUCUUGUGAAAUCCCACGGCUCACCCGUGGAACUGCUGGGCAUACUGGCGAUCUUGGGCCACUCAGGGGCGACCGGAACAAGCGGUGGAGCGGUGAAAUGCGUAGAUAUCGCUUGGAACGCCAAAGGUGAAGACAGGUCGCUGGGGGUGUGCCGACGCUGAGACGCGAAAGCCAGGGGAGCAAACGGG